rnacentral:rRNA from 1 species
GACGAACGCUGGCGGCGUGCUUAACACAUGCAAGUCGAACGGAAAGGCCCUGCUUGCAGGGUGCUCGAGUGGCGAACGGGUGAGUAACACGUGGGUGAUCUGCCCCUUAUUUUGGGAUAAGCCUGGGAAACUGGGUCUAAUACUGGAUAGGACCAUGCUGUAGGUGGUGUGGUGGAAAGAUUAGUUUCGGUAAGGGAUGAGCUCGCGGCCUAUCAGCUGGUUGGUGGGGUAAUGGCCUACCAAGGCGUCGACGGGUAGCCGGCCUGAGAGGGUGGACGGCCACAUUGGGACUGAGAUACGGCCCAGACUCCUACGGGAGGCAGCAGUGGGGAAUAUUGCACAAUGGGCGCAAGCCUGAUGCAGCGACGCCGCGUGGGGGAUGACGGCCUUCGGGUUGUAAACUCCUUUCAGCCAUGACGAAGCCCUUGUGGUGACGGUAGUGGUAGAAGAAGCACCGGCUAACUACGUG